rnacentral:rRNA from 1 species
AUUGAACGCUGGCGGCAGGCCUAACACAUGCAAGUCGAGCGAGCGGCGGACGGGGGAGUAAUGUCUGGGGACUGCCCGAUGGAGGGGGAUAACUACUGGAAACGGUAGCUAAUACCGCAUACUAUCGGAUAACCCAUAUGGGAUUAGCUAGUAGGUGAGGUAAUGGCUCACCUAGGCGACGAGCCCUAGCUGGUCUGAGAGGAUGAUCAGCCACACUGGAACUGAGACACGGCCCAGACUCCUACGGAGGCAGCAGUGGGGAAUAUUGCACAAUGGGCGCAAGCAUGAUGCAGCCAUGCCGCGUGUGUGAAGAAGGCCUUAGGGUUGUAAAGUACUUUCAGGCGGGAGGCGUUACCGACAGAAGAAGCACCGGCUAACUCCGUGCCAGCAGCCGCGGUAAUAC